rnacentral:rRNA from 1 species
AGCUCCAAUAGCGUAUAUUAAAGUUGUUGCAGUUAAAAAGCUCGUAGUUGAACCUUGGGCUUGGUCGGCCGGUCCGCCUCAUUGGUGUGCACUGACCCGACCGAGCCUUUCCUUCUGGAUAACUAUAGUGCUUUUUAUUAAGUGCUAUAGGGAGCCAGGAUUUUUACUUUGAAAAAAUUAGAGUGUUCAAAGCAGGCAUACGCUCGAAUAUAUUAGCAUGGAAUAAUAGAAUAGGACGUACGGUUCUAUU